GGGACGGCAGUGCUGGCCCAUGCUCCCAGCCACUGGCGCUGUGGGACUGGGCUGCGGCCUGCAGGGGACGGGUCAGGAGAGCAGACAGGAGGCCGUCCAGAGGUCCCUCACAGAGCACAGCAUCCCUGGAGAACAGGGGCCGAUCAUCGCUGUCUGCUGUCAUCUCAGGAGGCCCCCAGAGAACAGCGAUGCGCACGCUUCUGCCGACACCCCCUCCCUCCGCGUGCGCCCGCUGGAGGUAUGCACAUCUCAUGUCUGGGGGAGAGCACAUCCCCUCCUACGAUCAGAAGAGAAGUGAAGAGAGAGGGAGAAAGCUCCCCCAUGACUUGGGACAAGUUAACCAUCGAUCUAGAAGUGCCCCCGAUGCUCGACCGGCAGGCAGAGGAGGCGUCGUGUUCUUUUUCAGAGCCGGUGAGGAACCGGUCACCGCUCAGAGAAGCUGCUGUUAGACGUUAGCUUCUGGUGGAGAAAGAAGGAGCCGGACUUUCCUGCCUGACCAGACGGCCGUGCGCUCUGAGGACCUCACUUGAGGACAGCUGGGGCACCCUAGUUCCAGGAAAGGCAGACUCGGCAGAGCGAGGGAAGCCCCCUCUGUGCUGGCGGCUCCGCUGGACGGCCUUCGGGCCUGCAGGACGGCAGGUGCCGGGCUCCCGGGCCACCCAGUCCAGCCCUUGUCGAGACCCAGGGCCUAGGCCGCCCAGCAUUUCCCUGGAAGGAUCAUUUGACUUUCAUGGGGAUCCACUUGUGCGGUCUUUCUGCAUUCGCUUCUGCAAAGAGGCAAAAGCCUCUGCCAGCGGGAGGGCUGCCCGGAACCGCCACCCAGAACCGCCCAGGCCUGCCCAGUGUCUGCCCUGCCGGGCCGGGGUGGGGUGGGGUCAGAAGGUGCAUUUGGCAGAGCCCUCACAUUCCAGAAUGACCUCAUGUUAGGUGAGUUGUUAUUUCAGCCUCCCAGAUGCGCACGCCGGGCCUCCCGACGAGGCCAAGGGGAGCCCAGCCUCCCCGCCGCCUGCUCGCCCACCCAGCUCCCGGGCGCUGGGAGCCAGGUCAUACUGCAUCGAGGGCGUUUUUGUGUUGAAAACAUGUAAAGCAAACACUCAAAUUAUCAACAAUUAUUUGUGGGCCUGCUUGGGCAUUUC